rnacentral:rRNA from 1 species
UACGAAGGGGGCUAGCGUUGCUCGGAAUCACUGGGCGUAAAGGGUGCGUAGGCGGGUCUUUAAGUCAGGGGUGAAAUCCUGGAGCUCAACUCCAGAACUGCCUUUGAUACUGAGGAUCUUGAGUUCGGGAGAGGUGAGUGGAACUGCGAGUGUAGAGGUGAAAUUCGUAGAUAUUGGGAAGAACACCGGUGGCGAAGGCGGCGACCUGGACCACAACUGACGCUGAGGCGCGAAAGCUAGGGGAGCAAACAGA